AUUGAACGCUGGCGGCAGGCCUAACACAUGCAAGUCGAGCGGUAACAGUCCUUCGGGAGCUGACGAGCGGCGGACGGGUGAGUAACGCGUAGGAAUCUACCCAGUAGAGGGGGAUAGCCCGGGGAAACUCGGAUUAAUACCGCAUAAACUCUAUGGAGCAAAGGGGGCUUCGGCUCUCGCUACUGGAUGAGCCUGCGUGGGAUUAGCUAGUUGGUGAGGUAAUGGCUCACCAAGGCGACGAUCUCUAACUGGUCUGAGAGGAUGAUCAGUCACACUGGAACUGAGACACGGUCCAGACUCCUACGGGAGGCAGCAGUGGGGAAUAUUGCACAAUGGGCGAAAGCCUGAUGCAGCCAUGCCGCGUGUGUGAAGAAGGCCUUAGGGUUGUAAAGCACUUUCAGUAGGAGGAAGGUCAAGUAGUUAAUACCUGCUUGGAUUGACGUUACCUACAGAAGAAGCACCGGCUAACUCCGUAGCCAGCAG
rnacentral:rRNA from 1 species